rnacentral:rRNA from 1 species
CUUGCGUUAGUGGAGCGGCCGACGUCUGAUUAGCUAGUUGGUGAGGUAAAGGCUCACCAAGGCGACGAUCAGUAGCUGGUCUGAGAGGAUGAUCAGCCACACUGGAACUGAGACACGGUCCAGACUCCUACGGGAGGCAGCAGUGGGGAAUUUUGGACAAUGGGCGAAAGCCUGAUCCAGCAAUGCCGCGUGCAGGAUGAAGGCCUUCGGGUUGUAAACUGCUUUUGUACGGAACGAAACGGUCUGCCUUAAUACGGUGGGCUAAUGACGGUACCGUAAGAAUAAGCACCGGCUAACUACGUGCCAGCAGCCGCGGUAAUACGUAGGGUGCGAGCGUUAAUCGGAAUUACUGGGCGUAAAGCGUGCGCAGGCGGUUAUAUAAGACAGAUGUGAAAUCCCCGGGCUCAACCUGGGACCUGCAUUUGUGACUGUAUAGCUAGAGUACGGUAGAGGGGGAUGGAAUUCCGCGUGUAGCAGUGAAGUGCGUAGAUAUGCGGAGGAACACCGAUGGCGAAGGCAAUCCCCUGGACCUGUACUGACG